rnacentral:sRNA from 1 species
GUCUAUCCAGGCCUCGUCUCCUGCACGGA